UAUGUUCCCUGGCAGGGAGAUGCACAAAGGUGGUUUCCCAGAGAGAGGCUCGUCCAUUGCACUCCAGUGUUGACCCCCUGCAAUGUCCCCAAAUGCAGAAAACUCACCUGCAUAAUCUGUAGCAGUAGGAACUAAGUUCAUGCUUCUCCCAU
rnacentral:snRNA from 1 species